rnacentral:lncRNA from 1 species
AGCGUGUUCUGCCGCCACAGGGACCAAAAACGAAGUGCUGAACACAAGCAGGGAUUUUUCYGGUGCCUGCUGGAAUCUGCAAUAAGGCUGUAGAAAGCCCAGGAGAAAGGUCUCGCCGGGGUGAGGUCGCGGGCGGCUGAAGAUGGGAGGCUGUGGGCGUCCCGUCCUCCCCGUUCGAGGCCUGCUGCUCUGCGCCUUGGCUCUGCUCGUCUGCGCCCAGCACCCUCCGGCCGCAGCAGGUUUUCCAGAGUCCAGCGGUACUUACAACUCCUCCGCGGCCUCCAACUCCUCCGCGGCCUCCAACUCCUCCGCGGCCUCCAACUCCUCCGCGGCCUCCAACUCCUCCGCAGCACCCGACUCCUGGGUGGACGGGACAGAAGAAACACUGCUCACCUGCCAGAGCUUCCGCUGCUCCGGGGAGAGGUGUUACCAGGACGAAGCCUACGCCAACGAAACGCUGACCUGCCAAAACGGCUCCUACUGUGAGCUCUACCGAUUCUCCAGCACAAACUACACAGCCGGGUGCACCCGCGAGUGCAGCGCGGAGAGGUGCAGGACCAACAGCAGCGUGAGCGUGCAGCAGUGCGCCCUGGACUGUUGCGACUCGCCCCUCUGCCUUCAGCUCAACGCCAGCUCCUAUGGUGACCUGCUGCCCAGCACCACGCCAGCCGCCACCACCGCCACCGCCACCCCCCGAGCUCCCGCCCGAAAUGUAGGUAUCGGCUGGACGCGGGGUGRCCGGCUUGCCCUGGCCGCA